ensembl:lncRNA
UUUAACUAGAUUUCAUUUGUCAGUGUGGGACUGCUGAGUCACCUGAAGAACUCAUUUCAUUCAUUCUCCACAUGAUGUUCAUUUACAGAAAUGUUUCACAGGAACUGAUUUCUCCCAAAGGGUGAACUAGUGUGUUUCCAUAGAUUACCUCUGUAUGAAUGUACUUCUUAAAUGAAGGCAAGUGUUUGUCCUUUUUUGUUCCUCAGGUAUAGUACGUGAUAUCAAGGGCAGGCGGUCAACACUGGGGGUAGACAAGAAGCAGACGUACUUCCAAGAGGGAGCUGCAGUGAGGUCAGAGUUUGCAGGUAUAUCAGCACGAGACAUUCUUGCAUAGAAGACACGUUAAAGUCUCUGACUCAGUGAAGCAUUAUUGGUCCCGUCUGUUUGGAUAAAUAUAGAGGCGCUGGAAGGUUUCCCUAAUAGUUCCUGGUGAAUCAAAGCAGAACCAUAAAGGUUGCUGGACUGCAUGAUGGCCUUACCCCUGAGCCGUCAUCCUGUUAAAGGAGGAACCAGUUAGAAACUGUUUUCAAAGUAACUGAGCAGAUUUCAUCUCAACAGACAAAGCUGAUGGCAGAAGAUGUCAGAGAAGAACUUCAGGCCGUGGACUGAAAAGUAGAUCAAAGCAGCUCGUGCUGCUUCUGCUUCCAAUUUAGAAGAAGAAGAAGAAGAAGAAGGCGAAGGCUUCAGCAAAGUGGCGUUCAUGGUCUCAGUGAACAGUCACGGUCACACACUGCAUGUGGUUUUAAAAGCAACAUGUCUGUUCACCACAACAAUGGAGAUGUGUAAUAUUAGUGCAGCUACGGUUUGUUCUUGAACAUCAGGGGCCCGUUCUUCGUACGUCGCUUACUACAUCCAAGAUCAAAUGACACAUCCAAGACCAAAUCAUCACGCUAACCGUGAGCUCGCUAAUCCGGUUCUCCGAACACACCUGCUGUUGACGAUUAGUACAGCUGGAUGAAGUAAUGUGAGAUCACUGGGUGUCGUAAAAGGGGCUACGCAUCGAUAGUAGAAACAUUGAUCGGCAACCCUUUGAUUGGUCGGCGAAAAUGUCGAAGGAGCGCGCUCGGCUCGGUAUUUUUCGGCAGCAGAGCAAGAACUCUUGAGUGAGGGAUUUCAGGAGUUUCAGAGUUUAAUCAGAACGCAAGGGAACACUGCAAAGGCUGCAAAAGCAAGGAGAGAGGGCUGGCAGAAAGUUGCUGACAAAUUAAACUCGUAAGUAAUUUAAUAAUAACAAUAAUAAUGGAGUGGAUUUAUAUAGCGCUUUUCAAGGCACCCAAAGCGCUUUACAAUGCCACUAUUCAGUCACUCUCACAUUCACACACUGGUGGAGGCAGCUACAGUUGUAGCCACAGCUGCCCUGGGGCAGACUGACAGAAGCGAGGCUGCCAUAUUGCGCCAUCGGCCCCUCUGGCCAACACCAGUAGGCGGUAGGGUAAAUUUAUUAUAUUACACUAUAUUAUCCAAUAUUAUAUUACAUUAUAUUAUAAUAUGUUAUAUUAUAUCCCCUUUCACAUUAGAGCCACAACAGGACCCACUAGAACAUGGGAACAAGUAAAAGUGAAAUAUAAGAAUAUUCUACAGAAUGGUAAUAUUUAUCACUUAUAUUGCUUUUCGUCUCUAGGAAAGAGACCCUGGAAUAAUCUGUUUGUUUAUAACAGCAACCAAGAAAAGGGCAGAGGAAAAAAAGACAGGUGGUGGUCCUGCACCCCCUCGUCAACAAGUUGGUUAAGUGAAUAAUACCCUCACGGGAAUAUCGAUAUCUCUCAAUGAGCACACUGUCGCGCUGAGCUAAAGGAUCCUGUCUGUCCCGCAAUAUACGCUGAAUUCUGAAAACUCUCCUUAUCAAUCUUGCACCUUCCGCAAUGGGCUGCUCGCGUAAACGGACAGGACAUGGCUGCGACAGGCUUCCCAAAUCCACCUUCGCUUUUAUAGCCGUGGUCUCUCAUCUUGAUUACACGAAGUAAUUUACUAUUACUACUCUGAAAUAUGAAUUACAUCUGUAAUAAUCACAUACAUGUAAUAGAAUGUUAAUAGUACAUUUCCCUUUUUUAGGAAAUGACCUGUAUGUAUCUGUAUGAAAUCAAUAAAUGGAUCAAGUACUGCAUUAUCUUUAGUUACAUUGAUGUUAUUUAUUUAUGGUGAAACAGUGGUGGAAUAUCGCUGUUGCUUUCGUAUAAAUGAAGCGGACAUACCUGCGUGGCCGCGAUCUAAUCCUGUUUACGCUUACGGCUCUGUUGCUAUGACAGCAAGUCCCGGAUGAGCUUCGGGGAACCGAACGAUCCAGGAUCACGCGAAAUCGUCAAUAUUGAAGUAAUGUCUUUACCCUCUGCAGCGUGUGGACGCAAUCACCUUAUUCACUGUAGUAAACGUGCACCGCUAGCUCACGUGACUGACUGUCUCCAUGGUUACAUCGUAUAUUAUUAGCUAUGUAAACAGCUUCCAAAGAUGCCGCCAUAGCUCUCUGCAGCUGUAACACUUAAAACCUUAGCAAAUCAUUUCAUGUUUUUGAUAGUUAUGAAGACAGAAUAUGUUAAGGUCAUGCUAGGCGGUUGCUAUGGUGGUUGCUGUGGACUUGGGUGGACCGCGUCCGAUUCCUGUUAUUAGCUGUCCGCCGUAGGAAGGCUGCGUUCCACUUACAAGUAGUGACAGUCUGCCGCAACUCGAACUCAAACCCGCUUUGUUCUUUAAUUAUAGGCCUUUUAUAGCCGUUCAUGACACGCACAUACACACAUAAAGCACUUUGCCUCACCAUGAGAAUGCAACUUUACCUAACCUAACCUUAAAGUGUCUGAUAUAGGAUAAAAAAAUGAAGCAACCAGAGAUUUAAUGAUGAAGACUCUGGGUUCUGUAGUUCACGUUUUACAGUCCUGAAUGACUCUGCAUAUAAUUUAUUGAAGAGGACUUUAGAAUGCACUUUACAUUUAGACUGUUGCUGUUUCAUUUUUUACAUUGUUGCAGUGUUA